rnacentral:rRNA from 1 species
UACGUAGGGGACGAGCGUUGUCCGGAUUUAUUGGGCGUAAAGAGCGUGUAGGCGGCCAGGUAGGUCUGCUGUGAAAACUCGAGGCUCAACCUCGAGACGUCGGCGGAAACCAUCUGGCUAGAGUCCGGAAGAGGAGAGUGGAAUUCCUGGUGUAGCGGUGAAAUGCGCAGAUAUCAGGAAGAACACCCGUGGCGAAGGCGGCUCUCUGGGACGGUACUGACGCUGAGACGCGAAAGCGUGGGAGCGAACAGG